GACGAACGCUGGCGGCGUGCUUAACACAUGCAGGUCGAACGGAAAGGCCCUGCUUUUGUGGGGUGCUCGAGUGGCGAACGGGUGAGUAACACGUGAGUAACCUGCUCUUGACUUUGGGAUAACUUCAGGAAACUGGGGCUAAUACCGGAUAGGAGCUCCUGCUGCAUGGUGGGGGUUGGAAAGUUUCGGCGGUUGGGGAUGGACUCGCGGCUUAUCAGCUUGUUGGUGGGGUAGUGGCUUACCAAGGCUUUGACGGGUAGCCGGCCUGAGAGGGUGACCGGCCACAUUGGGACUGAGAUACGGCCCAGACUCCUACGGGAGGCAGCAGUGGGGAAUAUUGCACAAUGGGCGGAAGCCUGAUGCAGCAACGCCGCGUGCGGGAUGACGGCCUUCGGGUUGUAAACCGCUUUCGCCUGUGACGAAGCGUGAGUGACGGUAAUGGGUAAAGAAGCACCGGCUAACUACGUG
rnacentral:rRNA from 1 species